GACGAACGCUGGCGGCGUGCCUAAUACAUGCAAGUAGAACGCUGAAGGAGGAGCUUGCUUCUCUGGAUGAGUUGCGAACGGGUGAGUAACGCGUAGGUAACCUGCCUGGUAGCGGGGGAUAACUAUUGGAAACGAUAGCUAAUACCGCAUAAGAGUAGAUGUUGCAUGACAUUUGCUUAAAAGGUGCAAUUGCAUCACUACCAGAUGGACCUGCGUUGUAUUAGCUAGUUGGUGGGGUAACGGCUCACCAAGGCGACGAUACAUAGCCGACCUGAGAGGGGGAUCGGCCACACUGGGACUGAGACACGGCCCAGACUCCUACGGGAGGCAGCAGGAGGGAAUCUUCGGCAAUGGACGGAAGUCUGACCGAGCAACGCCGCGGGAGUGAAGAAGGGUGUCGGAUCGUAAAGCUCUGUUGUAAGAGAAGAACGAGUGUGAGAGUGGAAAGUUCACACUGUGACGGUAUCUUACCAGAAAGGGACGGCUAACUACGUG
rnacentral:rRNA from 1 species